rnacentral:rRNA from 1 species
AACGAACGCUGGCGGCAGGCUUAACACAUGCAAGUCGAGCGCAGGAAACUGACGGAACUCUUCGGAGGGAAGGCAGUGGAAUGAGCGGCGGACGGGUGAGUAACACGUAAGGAACCUGCCUCAAGGAUUGGGAUAACUCCGAGAAAUCGGAGCUAAUACCGGAUAGUUCAACGGACCGCAUGGUCCGCUGAUGAAAGGCGCUCCGGCGUCACCUUGAGAUGGCCUUGCGGUGCAUUAGCUAGUUGGUGGGGUAACGGCCCACCAAGGCGACGAUGCAUAGCCGACCUGAGAGGGUGAUCGGCCACACUGGGACUGAGACACGGCCCAGACUCCUACGGGAGGCAGCAGUAGGGAAUCUUCCACAAUGGACGAAAGUCUGAUGGAGCAACGCCGCGUGAGUGAUGAAGGUUUUCGGAUCGUAAAACUCUGUUGUAAGGGAAGAACACGUACGAGAGGGAAUGCUCGUACCUUGACGGUACCUUACGAGAAAGCCACGGCUAACUACGUGCCAGCAGCCGCAGUAAUAC